GCACGAGUAGUAUAACGGCGAUUAUAUCGGUUUUCCACACCGAGGAUGAGGUUUCAACUACCUUCUCGUGCUCCA
rnacentral:tRNA from 2 species